rnacentral:lncRNA from 1 species
GGAGAGGAAGGCCCGUCUAGGGUUUCUCCUUGAGCUAGGGUUGAGAGAAGGCGCUACGCGGCUUAUAAAGGCGGAGCGGAGGCAGCGGUCGCUGUCAACGACGAUGUGGCGCGGAGGGGGCCUCCAUCGGCCAGGAGAACGAAAAGCAGAGGUUGAAGAAAGGCUUGUGAGAGAACGCAUACUUCGCGGAAUACGCCUUCAACGCGGGGAAGCGCAAUGCGGGUGGCGCACGAUGGAGUUGGGCUGCAGCGGCGUUGCGGGGCUGCGCGGUGCGCUAGGAAAGCUGGGCCCGCGUGUGGUGCGCGGAAGAGGUUGGGCCGAGGCGGCUGCUGGGCCGACUCGGGCCGAAAGGUAAGCGGGUAGGUUUUUUUUUGUUUUUGUUUUUCCUUUUCCCUUUUUCUGUUUUUCUGUUUUUCAAAUAGUUUUUGGAUUCAAAUUUUAAAUACCAUUUUGAAAAGCUGAGAAGUAGAAGAAUUCAAAUAUGGCACUACUAUUUGAAAAUAUUCAAAUGGAGUUAGAGUUCUAAAACAAAACUCAUUUGAAUAUCAUUUGAAAAAUGUAGGAAAAGGAAUUCAAACUCAAAGAAGGGUGAUUCAUAUUUGAAUCUUCUAGCAAAUCCAAACAACAAGAUUUCAAACCACAAGUUCAAAAAAUGUAAUUUUCAAAUUUUAUGUGAAUCAAAGAAUUGAUGACAUGGCAUGGAUGCAAAUGUAAAAUGUUAUGC